rnacentral:rRNA from 1 species
CAGAAACUCAAAGGAAUUGACGGGGCCCGCACAAGCGGUGGAGCAUGUGGUUUAAUUCGAUGAUACGCGAGGAACUUACCUGGGCUCAAAUGUAUGUUGACGUAUUCUGAAAGGGAUACUUCUUCGGACAAUAUACAAGGUGCUGCAUGGUUGUCGUCAGCUCGUGCCGUGAGGUGUCGGGUUAAGUCCCAUAACGAGCGCAACCCCUAUCAUUAGUUGCCAUCAGGUCAAGCUGGGGACUCUAAUGAAACUGCCUACGCAAGUAGUGAGGAAGGUGGGGAUGACGUCAAAUCAGCACGGCCCUUACGUCCAGGGCUACACACGUGCUACAAUGGCCGGUACAAAGGGCAGCUACCUGGUGACAGGAUGCUAAUCUCAAAAGCCGGUCUCAGUUCGGAUCGGAGUCUGCAACCCGACUCCGUGAAGUUGGAUUCGCUAGUAAUCGCGCAUCAGCCAUGGCGCGGUGAAUACGUUCCCGGGCCUU